CCUACGGGGGGCAGCAGUCGAGAAUCAUUCACAAUGGGGGAAACCCUGAUGGUGCGACGCCGCGUGGGGGAAUGAAGGUCUUCGGAUUGUAAACCCCUGUCAUGUGGGAGCAAAUUAAAAAGAUAGUACCCCAAGAGGAAGAGACGGCUAACUCUGUGCCAGCAGCCGCGGUAAUACAGAGGUCCCAAGCGUUGUUCGGAAUCACUGGGCGUAAAGCGUGCGUAGGCUGUUUCGUAAGUCGUGUGUGAAAGGCGCGGGCUCAACCCGCGGACGGCACAUGAUACUGCGAGACUAGAGUAAUGGAGGGGGAACCGGAAUUCUCGGUGUAGCAGUGAAAUGCGUAGAUAUCGAGAGGAACACUCGUGGCGAAGGCGGGUUCCUGGACAUUAACUGACGCUGAGGCACGAAGGCCAGGGGAGCGAAAGGGAUUAGAUACCCGUGUAGUC
rnacentral:rRNA from 1 species